UACGAAGGGGGCUAGCGUUGCUCGGAAUCACUGGGCGUAAAGGGCGCGUAGGCGGGGAGGUAAGUCGGGGGUGAAAUCCCUCGGCCCAACCGAGGAACUGCGCCCGAGACUGCUUCUCUUGAGUCCCGGAGAGGAAGAUGGAAUUCCCGGUGUAGCGGUGAAAUGUGUAGAGAUCGGGAGGAACACCGGUGGCGAAGGCGGUCUUCUGGACGGUGACUGACGCUGAGGCGCGAAAGCGUGGGGAGCAAACGGG
rnacentral:rRNA from 1 species